UAACUGUGAUAAGUAGUAUGAAUUGCAGGAUUCAGUGAAUCAUCAAAAUCUUGAACGCAAAUUGCACCAACUAGUUUAUUUAGUUGGUAUAUUUGUUUGAGGGUCAAUAAUUAUAUUGAAAUUAAUUUUAUAAAUUAAUUUUUAGUUGAGUAACUUGCUUUUUUAAGCAUUACUUUAAAAAUUCAAAAGAUAUUUAUCUAAUCCAACUAGUCAUUUUACGAUGGCUGGCAAGAUAGUUGGCAACAGACGAAUAUUUAAACGUGAAAAAGUUUUAAAAUCAAAAACUUGACCUCAAAUCAAAUAAGACUACCUGCUGAACUUAA
rnacentral:misc_RNA from 1 species